AGCUCACCUGAGAGUCCCGAAACUCCACCACCACGUUCUCGCUGCUCCAGCGCGCUGCCAUCUCACAAGCCCGACCGUGGGGUGCCAGUCGGCGACCCUCCACCCCGACCCCAAGACCCGAGACUCCCUAGGGACCAGACCUGCCUCCAAAAACAGGAACGCCCCUUCAUUUCGUCAUCAGUACGAGUCACCCGGGCACCCCACUGCUGACACGCCCCCUGCCGUGAGCUCUGCCGGGAAUUGUAGUCAAAUGUCAGGUCAGCGUCAGUUACCCAGUAAGAGCCUGAGUUUAGAGAGCAGACGCCGCCGGCGGUCCUGUCUUGCUGGUAGUUGGAUGGUAUCCCCCGUAUUCUACUACAUACAGCGUAUAAACAGGACCGACAUCCGUACCAAAGUAAAAUAACUUCUUCUGAUACCUCUCA